ACGAAAUCGCAAGAUUUAGUGGCGAAAGGGUUAGUAAGACAUGGGUAACCUACCUUUAACACUGGGAUAACGGUUGGAAACGAUCGCUAAUACUGGAUGUGGUGAGUAGAAGAAAUCUUUUAUUUAUUAAAGUGGGGGAUCGCAAGACCUCGCAGUUAAUGAGGGGCCCAUGGGAUAUCAGCUAGUUGGUGUGGUAAAGGCGCACCAAGG
rnacentral:rRNA from 1 species